GCUGCCGUGGUGUAAUGGUUAGCACACUGGACUUGCAAUCCAGAGGUCGCCGGUUCGAUCUUCCGGCGCGGCUGUU